rnacentral:rRNA from 1 species
CGGCGGACGGGUGAGUAACGCGUGGGUAACCUACCCCAAAGUCCGGGAUAACAGCGGGAAACCGCUGCUAAUACCGGAUGCCUUUACCUUGGGGCAUCUUGAGGUAAAGAAAGGUAACGCUUUGGGAUGGGCCCGCGUCCCAUUAGCUAGUUGGUGAGGUAACGGCUCACCAAGGCGACGAUGGGUAGCCGGCCUGAGAGGGUGGACGGCCACACUGGGACUGAGACACGGCCCAGACUCCUACGGGAGGCAGCAGUAGGGAAUAUUGCGCAAUGGACGGAAGUCUGACGCAGCGACGCCGCGUGAGCGAUGAAGGUCUUCGGAUCGUAAAGCUCUGUCCUUGGGGAAGAAGGCGAAAGCUUGACGGUACCCAAGAAGAAAGCCCCGGCUAACUACGUGCCAGCAGCCGCGGUAAUACGUAGGGGGCGAGCGUUGUCCGGAAUUACUGGGCGUAAA